rfam:Beggiatoa sp. 4572_84 ex4572_84_scaffold_3515, whole genome shotgun sequence.
GUCACUGUCCAUAAAUAACUCACAGAGUUCUUUUAAAGUGACCCGCCUAAGUUCUUCGGGAACUACGUUAGGGAUGAAAAUAUAGGUACUCUCGUGAUGCUUCUCCAGUCCGAGAUUCUACGGGGAACUAUUAAACAGGUCUGAUGGAAAGGCCAGUGUCGUUUCCAUUCAAAACCGUCCUAUAACAUUGGCUAGGAGACUAUUAC